rnacentral:rRNA from 1 species
GCAAGUCGAGCGGUAGCAGGUCCUUCGGGAUGCUGACGCGCGGCGGACGGGGGAGUAAUGCUUAGGAAUCUGCCUGGUCGUGGGGGAUAGCCCGGGGAAACCCGGAUUAAUACCGCGUACGCACUUUGGGGGACAGCAGAGGCUCGUUUCUUUUCGGUGAGUGGACCUUGCGCUAUUGGAUGAGCCUAAGUCAGAUUAGCUGGUUGGUGGGGUAAAGGCCUACCAAGGCGACGAUCCGUAGCUGGUCUGAGAGGAUGAUC